GAGAAUGUAGCUCAGUUGGUUAGAGUGUUGGCCUGUCACGUCAAAAGUCGCGAGUUCGAAUCUCGUCAUUCUCG
rnacentral:tRNA from 1 species